rnacentral:snoRNA from 1 species
GGUCAGUGAUGAGUGUUGGCAUGUAUUACCUGACCUGGAACUGAUGUAUCACCACAUUAGCUCUAGAAUUACUCUGAGACCCA